AGAUUGAACGCUGGCGGCAUGCUUUACACAUGCAAGUCGAACGGUAACAGGCCGCAAGGUGCUGACGAGUGGCGAACGGGUGAGUAAUGCAUCGGAACGUGCCCAGUCGUGGGGGAUAACGCAGCGAAAGCUGUGCUAAUACCGCAUACGAUCUAUGGAUGAAAGCGGGGGACCGAAAGGCCUCGCGCGAUUGGAGCGGCCGAUGUCAGAUUAGCUAGUUGGUGGGGUAAAGGCCCACCAAGGCGACGAUCUGUAGCUGGUCUGAGAGGACGACCAGCCACACUGGAACUGAGACACGGUCCAGACUCCUACGGGAGGCAGCAGUGGGGAAUUUUGGACAAUGGGGGAAACCUGAUCCAGCCAUCCGCGUGUGCGAUGAAGGCCUUCGGUGUAAGCACUUUGCUAGGAGAAACGGCGUGCCCUAAUACGGACGUCACGUGACGGUACCUGCAGAAUAAGCACCGGCUAACUACGUGCUAGCAA
rnacentral:rRNA from 1 species